AAAUAAGUUACAAAGUGCGUGUAGUGGAUGCCUUGGUAUUAAUUGGCGAUGAAGGACGUGAGUACCUGCGAUAAGCCUCGGGGAAUUGGAACAAAGUUUUGAUCCGGGGAUUUCCGAAUGGGGAAACCCAUCAUGCCCUCUUUUAGAGAGCUGAUAUUUUUCGAAGAUACUUCGAAAAAAGCGAAACUCGGUGAACUGAAACAUCUUAGUAACCGAAGGAAGAGAAAGCGAAAGCGAUUCCCUUAGUAGCGGCGAGCGAACCGGGAACAGUCCAAACCAUUGCGUUUUCGCAAUGGGGUUGUAGGAGUUCUCAUCAUAAAGUCAAAAAUUGAUUGAUUAGAAGAAAAAGUUGGAAAACUUUAUCCGAGAGGGUGAUAAUCCCGUAUUCGAAAAUCAGUCAACUUUCGAGAGCCACCUGAGUACGGCGGGGCACGUGUAAUCCUGCCGGAACCUGCGGAAGACACUCCGUAAGACUAAAUACAAAUUAAUAACCGAUAGUGAACCAGUACCGUGAGGGAAAGGUGAAAAGUACCCCGGAAGGGGAGUGAAAUAGUUUCCUGAAACUACAUGCAUACAAGAAGUUAGAGCGUCCUUAGUGGCGUGAUAGCGUGCCUUUUGCAGCAUGAGCCGGCGAGUUAAGAUUCAAGGCAAGGUUAAAUCAACAAGAUGGAGCCGUAGCGAAAGCGAGUUUGAAUAGAGCGAUUUAGUCUUGGGUUUUAGACCCGAAACCGUGUGAGCUUACCAUGACCAGGCUGAAGGAGCGGUAAAACGCUUUGAAGGGCCGAACCAGUGUCCGUUUUAAAGGGCUUGGAUGAGUUGUGGUAAGAGGUGAAAUGCCAAUCGAACACGGAUAUAGCUGGUUCUCUUCGAAAUAUUUUUUGGAAUAGCGUCAAGUUUACCUUAUCGGCGGUAGAGCUCUGAAUGCAUUGGAGGGUCCACCCUUGGAUUACUCCGUGUAAUUAAACUUCGAAUUCCGAUAAACCAUAUACUUGGCAGUCAGUCAGUGGGUGAUAAGUUCAUUGACGAAAGGGGAACAACCCAGACCAUCAGCUAAGGUCCCGAAAUCAGUACUCAGUGGAAAAAGUUGUGAGAUUCCUUAGACAGUUGGAAUGUUGGCUUAGAAGCAGCCAUUCAUUUAAAGAGUGCGUAACAGCUCACCAAUCAAGGAAUUUUGCGCUGAAGAUGUAACGGGGCUAAGUACUGUACCGAAGCUAUGGAAUUGUUGACUUUUUAAAGUCGAUGAUUGGUAGAAGAGCGUUCGUUUACUGUUGAAGUUUUCGCGGAAGCGGAGGUGGAAGUGAAUGAAGUGAGAAUGCCGGCGUGAGUAACGAUGGAGAGUGAGAAUCUCUCCUGCCGAAUGAUCAAGGUUUCUUAGGCAAGGUUCGUCCUCCUAAGGUGAGUCGGGACCUAAGGCGAGAUCGAAAGAUGUAGUCGAUGGUAAACCGGUUGAUAUUCCGGUACCGAUUUAAUUAGCGAUUGGAAUGACAAAGGAGGCUAGUGUGAGCCGGCGAAUGGUAGUGCCGGUCUAAGCGUUUAGAAGGUGAAAUUGGCAAAUCCGUUUCACAUCCCACUUUGAAGCGUGAAAGAUAGUGAAGACCUUCGGGUUGGUAGCGAAGCACAUGACGCCAUGCUUUCAAGAAAAGUUUCUAGCAAUAAUUAAGUCGCCCGUACCGACAACGAACACACGUGAUCAGAAAGAGAAUUUUCAGGCAAGCGAGACAACCACAUUUAAGGAACUCGGCAAAAUGACCCCGUAAGUUCGCAAUAAGGGGUGCCCCCGUGUUCGGGGGCCGCAGAGAAUCGACCCAGGCGACUGUUUAACAAAAACACAAGUCCCUGCCAAGCAGUAAUGCAAAGUAUAGGGGCUGAUACCUGCCCAGUGUUAGAAGGUUAAGGAAGCUGUUGUUCGGAAUUUAUUCCGAUAGGUGGCGACUGAAGCCCUAAUGAACGGCGGCUGUAAAUAUAACGGUCCUAAGGUAGCGAAAUUCCUUGUCAGGUAAGUUCUGACCCGCACGAAAGGUAUAACGAUCUGGGUGCUGUCUCAAAUGUGGACUCGGUGAAAUCUUAUUACUUGUGACGAUGCAAGUUACCCGCAGCUAGACGAAAAGACCCCGUGGAGCUUUACUAUACUUUGAUAUUGAGUUUUAGUUUCGUUUGUACAGCAUAAGUAGGAGACGUUGAAGCGUGAACGCCAGUUUGCGCCGAGUCGUCAGUGGAAUACUACUCUUGCGAUGUUGAAACUCUUACCCUUUGCUUACCCGCAAGGGAACAGUGUCAGAUGGGUAGUUUGACUGGGGCGGUCGCCUCCCAAAAAGUAACGGAGGCGCUCAAUGGUUCUCUCAGCACGUAUAGAAAUCGUGCAUGGAGCGUAAAGGUAGAAGAGAGCUUGACUGCGAGAUCGACAGAUCGAGCAGGUACGAAAGUAGGACUUAGUGAUCCGGCAAUGCAUUGUGUUUUGCUUGUCGCUCAACGGAUAAAAGUUACCCCGGGGAUAACAGGUUCAUCUCCUCCAAGAGUUCAUAUCGACGAGGAGGUUUGAUACCUCGAUGUCGGCUUGCCGUAUCCUGGAGCUGAAGCAGGUUCCAAGGGUUGGGCUGUUCGCCCAUUAAAACGGGACGUUAGCUGGGUUCAGGACGUCGUGAGACAGUCCGGUCCCUAUCUGCUGUGGGCGGAGGAAAUUUGCGAGGAGGUCUUUCUAGUACGAGAGGAGCGAAAGGCUAGCACCGCUGGUGUGUCAGUUGUCCUGCCAAGGGCAUUGCUGAGUAGCUAUGUGCUAAACGGAUAAGUACUGAAAGCAUCUAAGUACGAAGCCGGCCUCAAGAUUAGAUUUCCAUAUAGACAACUUACAGACCAUGAGUUUGAUAGGCCGGAGGUGUAAGCAUAGCAAUAUGUUCAGCCGACCGGUACUAAUUGUCAAACACUUUUUUUU
rnacentral:rRNA from 1 species